CACCGUGGACCUGGCUGCGCUCCGCCCGGGCGAGUAGUGCAGGUGCCGCUGCGCCGGGGCCGGGGAGGCGCGCGCCGAGCCGAGCGGAGCCUAGGAGGGAUGGAGAGCUGGCCGCCCGGGCUGCAGGAGCACCGGCGCGGGGCGUAGGCGGCGCGAGGCGGGCGCGAGGCGGGCGCUCGGGCGCGAGGCGCGUGCGGGCGCGGGAGCACUUUGCGAUAGGAUGAGGCUCCGGGCUGGCGCGGUAGUACUAUGAUUUGGUAUGUGGCCACUUUCAUAGCAAGUGUGAUCGGCACCCGAGGGCUUGCGGCUCAAGGCGCCCACGGCCUGCGAGAGGAGCCCGAGUUUGUGACGGCAAGAGCUGGGGAGAGCGUGGUCCUACGAUGCGACGUGAUCCACCCAGUGACGGGACAGCCCCCACCCUAUGUCGUAGAGUGGUUCAAGUUCGGGGUCCCCAUCCCUAUCUUCAUCAAGUUUGGCUACUACCCCCCGCACGUGGACCCUGAGUAUGCAGGCCGGGCCAGUCUUCAUGAUAAGGCAUCUCUGCGGCUGGAACAAGUUCGCUCUGAGGACCAGGGCUGGUAUGAGUGCAAAGUGCUCAUGCUGGACCAGCAGUAUGACACCUUCCACAACGGCAGCUGGGUCCACCUCACCGUCAACGCCCCUCCCACCUUUACAGAAACACCCCCCCAGUACAUCGAGGCCAAGGAGGGUGGUAGUAUCACCAUGACCUGCACAGCUUUUGGGAACCCCAAGCCCAUUGUCACCUGGCUCAAGGAGGGGACACUCCUCGGUGCUAGUGGGAAAUACCAGGUGAGUGAUGGCAGCCUGACAGUGACAUCGGUCAGUCGGGAGGACAGAGGUGCCUACACCUGUCGAGCGUACAGCAUUCAGGGGGAGGCUGUCCACACCACCCACCUGCUUGUCCAAGGGCCCCCUUUCAUCGUCUCCCCUCCUGAGAACAUCACCGUCAACAUCUCCCAGGAUGCUCUGCUCACCUGCCGGGCAGAGGCGUAUCCGGGCAACCUCACCUACACCUGGUACUGGCAGGACGAGAACGUCUACUUUCAGAAUGACCUGAAGCUGAGGGUGCGCAUCCUAAUCGAUGGGACCCUGAUCAUCUUCCGGGUGAAGCCGGAGGAUGCUGGGAAGUACACCUGUGUGCCCAGCAACAGCCUGGGGCGCUCCCCCUCCGCCUCAGCGUACCUGACGGUGCAGUACCCAGCCCGUGUCCUCAACAUGCCCCCUGUAAUUUAUGUGCCCGUGGGGAUCCAUGGCUACAUCCGCUGCCCUGUGGAUGCAGAACCACCAGCCACCGUGGUCAAGUGGAACAAGGACGGCCGCCCCCUGCAGGUGGAGAAGAACCUGGGUUGGACCCUGAUGGAGGAUGGCUCCAUUCGAAUUGAGGAGGCCACAGAGGAGGCUCUUGGCACUUACACCUGUGUGCCUUACAACACCCUGGGGACCAUGGGCCAGUCUGCCCCUGCGAGGCUUGUCCUGAAGGACCCCCCCUAUUUCACGGUGCUACCAGGCUGGGAGUACAGGCAGGAGGCCGGCCGGGAGCUGCUUAUCCCCUGCGCGGCCGCGGGGGACCCCUUUCCUGUCAUCACGUGGAGAAAGGUAGGGAAGCCCAGCAGAAGCAAGCACAGUGCCCUGCCCAGUGGGAGCCUGCAGUUCCGUGCCCUGAGUAAGGAGGACCACGGGGAGUGGGAAUGUGUUGCCACCAACGUGGUCACGAGCAUCACUGCCAGCACCCACCUCACCGUCAUCGGCACCAGCCCCCAUGCCCCGGGCAGUGUCCGGGUCCAGGUCUCCAUGACAACUGCCAACGUGUCCUGGGAACCAGGCUAUGAUGGAGGCUACGAGCAGACAUUCUCAGUUUGGUACGGACCUCUGAUGAAGCGGGCACAGUUUGGGCCCCAUGACUGGCUGUCCUUGCCAGUGCCGCCAGGACCCAGCUGGUUGCUGGUGGAUACCCUGGAGCCUGAGACAGCGUACCAGUUCAGCGUCCUGGCCCAGAACAAGCUGGGAACCAGCGCCUUCAGUGAGGUGGUCACUGUGAACACUUUAGCAUUCCCUAUUACAACUCCAGAACCCCUGGUGCUGGUCACCCCACCGAGGUGCCUCAUAGCCAAUCGGACUCAGCAGGGUGUGCUCCUGUCCUGGCUUCCGCCUGCCAACCACAGCUUUCCCAUCGACCGCUACAUCAUGGAGUUCCGCGUCGGGGAGCGCUGGGAGAUGCUCGACGAUGCCAUCCCCGGCACUGAUGGAGAGUUCUUUGCCAAGGAUCUGUCACAGGACACGUGGUACGAGUUCCGGGUUCUGGCCGUCAUGCAGGAUCUGAUCAGCGAGCCCAGCAACAUCGCCGGCGUCUCCAGCACAGACAUCUUCCCGCAGCCGGACCUGACCGAGGACGGGCUGGCGCGGCCUGUGCUGGCGGGAAUCGUAGCUACCAUCUGCUUCUUGGCAGCUGCCAUCCUGUUCAGCACCCUGGCUGCCUGCUUUGUCAACAAGCAGCGCAAGCGUAAGCUCAAGCGCAAAAAAGACCCUCCACUUUCUAUCACCCACUGCAGGAAGAGCCUGGAGUCUCCCUUGUCCUCUGGCAAGGUGAGCCCUGAGAGCAUCCGCACGCUCCGGGCGCCGUCAGAAUCCUCGGAUGACCAGGGCCAGCCUGCGGCCAAGAGGAUGCUGAGCCCCACCCGUGAAAAGGAGCUGUCGCUGUACAAGAAGACCAAACGGGCCAUCAGCAGCAAGAAGUACAGCGUGGCCAAAGCGGAGGCCGAGGCGGAGGCCACCACGCCCAUCGAACUCAUCAGCAGAGGCCCUGAUGGCCGCUUCGUGAUGGACCCUGCCGAGAUGGAGCCCUCACUGAAAAGCAGGCGCAUCGAGGGCUUCCCCUUCGCCGAGGAGACGGACAUGUACCCCGAGUUCCGCCAGUCGGACGAGGAGAAUGAGGACCCACUGGUGCCCACAUCUGUGGCUGCCCUGAAGUCCCAGCUCACCCCUCUGUCAUCCAGCCAGGAGUCCUACCUGCCACCACCAGCAUACAGCCCUCGGUUCCAGCCCCGCGGGCUGGAGGGCCCUGGUGGCCUGGAAGGUCGGCUUCAGGCCACAGGCCAGGCCCGGCCCCCUGCCCCCCGGCCCUUCCACCACGGCCAGUAUUAUGGGUACCUCAGCAGCAGCAGCCCUGGGGAGGUGGAGCCGCCCCCAUUCUACGUGCCAGAAGUGGGCAGCCCCCUGAGCUCCGUCAUGUCAUCCCCGCCCCUGCACACCGAGGGGCCCUUUGGCCACCCUACCAUCCCCGAGGAGAAUGGAGAGAAUGCAUCCAACAGCACGCUGCCCUUGACUCAGACACCUACAGGAGGGCGCUCCCCUGAGCCCUGGGGCCGGCCAGAAUUCCCCUUCGGGGGGCUGGAGACCCCAGCAAUGAUGUUCUCCCACCAGCUGCCACCCUGUGAUGUGCCCGAGAGUCUGCAGCCCAAGGCCGGCCUCCCCCGAGGACUGCCCCCCACCUCCCUGCAGGUGCCUGCAGCCUACCCAGGCAUCCUGUCUCUGGAGGCACCAAAGGGUUGGGCAGGCAAGUCGCCUGGCAGGGGCCCUGUCCCAGCGCCCCCCGCCGCCAAGUGGCAGGACAGACCUAUGCAACCUCUGGUAAGCCAAGGGCAGCUGCGACAUACAAGCCAAGGCAUGGGCAUACCCGUGCUGCCUUACCCCGAGCCGGCUGAGCCGGGGGCGCACGGCGGCCCCAGCACAUUUGGCCUGGACACCCGGUGGUAUGAGCCCCAGCCCCGGCCCCGGCCCAGCCCCAGGCAGGCCAGGCGCGCCGAGCCCAGUUUACAUCAAGUGGUGCUACAGCCUUCCCGGCUCUCACCUCUGACCCAAAGCCCCCUCAGCUCCCGCACUGGCUCCCCUGAGCUCGCCGCCCGUGCCCGGCCUCGCCCGGGCCUCCUGCAGCAGACAGAGAUGUCAGAGAUCACCCUGCAGCCUCCUGCUGCAGUCAGCUUUUCUCGAAAGUCCACGCCGUCCACGGGCUCCCCGACCCAGAGCAGCCGCAGCGGGAGUCCCAGCUACCGGCCCGCCAUGGGCUUCACCACACUGGCCACAGGCUACCCUUCCCCUCCACCUGGCCCCGCCCCUGCUGGGCCUGGGGACAGCUUGGACGUGUUUGGACAGACGCCUUCCCCUCGAAGGAUGGGGGAGGAACUGCUCCGACCAGAGCCCCCACCACCCACGUUACCUACUUCAGGGAAGCUGCAGAGAGACAGACAGACAAGCUCCGGCUAUCAGCCCGCCUGAGAGAGCACUCUCUAAACUGUAGCAGCUGGUAUUCCAGCUAUCUGGGCAGUGUUGUCGAGACAAGCCUCUCCUCAGCUCAAUAGGCAGCAUGAAGAAGCCUCAGUCGAGGAUGAGAAGGGGUGAGGAUGUGCCUUCCACACUGGCAAGGUGUGCUCCCUCCCGCCCGGGCACCUGCACCCUUUGUCUGCCUUCCCGCUUCCUUCCCAGCUGCUGCUGUGCUGUAGGAUCUCUCUGGGUAGACUGGCAUGUUGGGUCACUUCUUCACGAGAGGGCUGUGUGUGCCUGUGUGUGCACGUAAGGGACCCUGUGUGUCCUCCUCAGCUCUGCUGUCAGGGGCUACGGAAAGUCAAGAGGUUGAUCCUGACCUGAACUUUUGAGGGAGCCUUUUGAAACUCUAUGGACUAAAGUACUAGAGAACGAUGACAUCCCCCAGGAAGAUAGAGGUCACUGCAUUGCCAGUGCAUGCAGGAAACCCCAGAGACCAGAGGCUUAUCUUCAUUUAGUGUGUAAGUCUCCUCUUCCUGCCUUGCUGCCAAGAUAUUUGAUGUUUUGGAGAAGAGGCUGCAGGUUUCCUAUCCCUGUUAACAUUUUUUUAAACCUCAGACCUCUUGACCUUUGGGGUCUUCUUUUGCCCUCACAGCAUUGUCUGUCCUACCUCUUUUAAUCAGGACUUUCUAAAAACUGUUUGCGAUAGAGAUAGGGGAGGGAGUUGGGGGGUCCAGGAGAAGAGCGAGGCACGCCCAUCCGCCGUAGCUCCAGAGCGUCCCUGCUUCUCUGAUCGCGUGCUAAUGCCAGUGCUGGUGGGAAGACAGAGUGACCUGUCUCCUUCUGUUUCCCCUUCAUUCCUCAGGCUCCGAGUUGGGUUACUUUGAGAAGAAAUGGCAUUGAGAACAUGUCUUUUAGGUUUUCCUCUUUUAUGACUCUUGAAAGAUUCUCUCCAAUAUGCACCGAGUGUCACAGACUGCCUGUCCUCUCAGCUCUUCUGGCUCCCUUGUGUACCUGGGCUGCUGCACGGGUGUGGCCAGACUGUGGAACCUGUCCUAACUGUGCAGUUGAUCCACCAGGCAAGUGGCAAUCAGGAUGCAGGAAGAGAGGCCAGUACACUUCUGUUCCAACAACCCCGUUUCUCUGUCGAAUCCUAAAAUACAGAGGUUCACCACGUUCUUGUUACAGACAGUAAGGGCUCUGGGAGGCUACUAGAUUUGGUUGUUCUGCCGUCAUCUCCUGCCACCUUCUCCUGUUUUCUUACAUGGCCAAGGAGAGCUGAGCCUCGUCUGCAGAGUUGAGGAGACACUGCCCUGAAAAUGUUGGUAUAUGACAAGAAUUCGUUGCUGUAAGCUGCUGCUGUUCUGUGGGAAUCUUGCAGCUGCAGGAGAAGAAGCUGGGGUCCGGGUUUCUCACUUAGCACCCCCUUUUCUGGAGAUGGAGGAUGGUUCACUGGGAUGGGAGUUGCUUGCCCCCUGCUCUAAUAUGCCCUUUUACUUUCCAUGCAAAGGUCUUGAUUGUGGUGAUUUCUAGGAACUCCAGACGUUGAGCCUACUUCUGUCUCUGACACUGAAUACAUCCCAGCUUGAGUUACAUGGGAAGGGGCUUACUAUUAAAGUCUCUCUCUCUCCCUUUGCUAGGGUCUGCUGAUUGCUCUGCAGGUUGGCUUCCGUCCGAGGUGGGCCAUGCUCCUGGAGCUUUCUACUGGGUUUUCUUCUUUCCAGGAGCAAUAGAAAGGCGGGUAUCAUGGAGCCAUCGUGGGCACCCUGGGCUCUGUGGGACUGAACUCUGUCCUUCUAUGGGUCAGCUACUUGGCUUUCUUCCAGUCCCUCUUCCAAAGCCUCACACAUCCGGGAGCUGACCUGUGGCUCUCUGGUUGUCCUUUCCAGAACACUUCCACCUGCACCCGAGAACGCUGCUGCACCUGAGAGGCUGGAGGCUCUGAAAUACCAACGGAUAAAGAAGCCCAAAAAGUCAUCCAAGGGCUCUUCGAAGUCAAAGAAACGAUCCGACGGUUCUGCCUCCCAGGCUCAGCAGCUUCCCAACUCUCAGGUUCUGUGGCCCGAUGAAGCUGUCUGCCUCCGAAAGAAGAAGAGACAUUCUCGU